GAAUUUUCCGCAAUGGGCGAAAGCCUGACGGAGUGACGCCGCGUGGGGGACGAAGGCCUUCGGGUCGUAAACCCCUGUCAGAGGGAAAGAAGGGUUUCGGCGUGAAUAGCGCCGGGAUCUGACGGUACCUUCAGCGGAAGCCCCGGCCACCUCUGUGCCAGCAGCCCCGGUAAGACAGAGGGGGCAAGCGUUGCUCGGAAUCACUGGGCGUAAAGGGCGCGUAGGCGGGAUGGCAAGUCAGUCGUGAAAGCCCUGGGCUAAACUCAGGGGGGUCGGCUGAUACUGCCGUUCUUGAGGGAUGCAGAGGAGACUGGAAUUCCCGGUGUAGCGGUGAAAUGUGUAGAGAUCGGGAGGAACACCGGUGGCGAAGGCGGGUCUCUGGGCAUUCCCUGACGCUGAGGCGCGAAAGCGUGGGGAGCAAACGGG
rnacentral:rRNA from 1 species